CCCAAACCGACACAGGUGGUCAGGUAGAGAAUACCAAGGCGCUUGAGAGAACUCGGGUGAAGGAACUAGGCAAAAUGGUGCCGUAACUUCGGGAGAAGGCACGCUGACACGUAGGUGAAGUGAUUUACUCAUGGAGCUGAAGUCAGUCGAAGAUACCAGCUGGCUGCAACUGUUUAUUAAAAACACAGCACUGUGCAAACACGAAAGUGGACGUAUACGGUGUGACGCCUGCCCGGUGCCGGAAGGUUAAUUGAUGGGGUCAGCGUAAGCGAAGCUCCUGAUCGAAGCCCCGGUAAACGGCGGCCGUAACUAUAACGGUCCUAAGGUAGCGAAAUUCCUUGUCGGGUAAGUUCCGACCUGCACGAAUGGCGUAAUGAUGGCCAGGCUGUCUCCACCCGAGACUCAGUGAAAUUGAACUCGCUGUGAAGAUGCAGUGUACCCGCGGCAAGACGGAAAGACCCCGUGAACCUUUACUAUAGCUUGACACUGAACAUUGAGCCUUGAUGUGUAGGAUAGGUGGGAGGCUUUGAAGUGUGGACGCCAGUCUGCAUGGAGCCGACCUUGAAAUACCACCCUUUAAUGUUUGAUGUUCUAACGUGGACCCGUAAUCCGGGUUGCGGACAGUGUCUGGUGGGUAGUUUGACUGGGGCGGUCUCCUCCUAAAGAGUAACGGAGGAGCACGAAGGUUGGCUAAUCCUGGUCGGACAUCAGGAGGUUAGUGCAAUGGCAUAAGCCAGCUUGACUGCGAGCGUGACGGCGCGAGCAGGUGCGAAAGCAGGUCAUAGUGAUCCGGUGGUUCUGAAUGGAAGGGCCAUCGCUCAACGGAUAAAAGGUACUCCGGGGAUAACAGGCUGAUACCGCCCAAGAGUUCAUAUCGACGGCGGUGUUUGGCACCUCGAUGUCGGCUCAUCACAUCCUGGGGCUGAAGUAGGUCCCAAGGGUAUGGCUGUUCGCCAUUUAAAGUGGUACGCGAGCUGGGUUUAGAACGUCGUGAGACAGUUCGGUCCCUAUCUGCCGUGGGCGCUGGAGAACUGAGGGGGGCUGCUCCUAGUACGAGAGGACCGGAGUGGACGCAUCACUGGUGUUCGGGUUGUCAUGCCAAUGGCACUGCCCGGUAGCUAAAUGCGGAAGAGAUAAGUGCUGAAAGCAUCUAAGCACGAAACUUGCCCCGAGAUGAGUUCUCCCUGAGACUUAGAGUCUCCUGAAGGAACGUUGAAGACGACGACGUUGAUAGGCCGGGUGUGUAAGCGCAGCGAUGCGUUGAGCUAACCGGUACUAAUGAACCGUGAGGCUUAACCUUACA
rnacentral:rRNA from 1 species